UGUUGAUGUUUUGAGAGAAUAACUGGAUGUUUCAUUUCUUCCUCAAUCAGACUCAAGAGAUCAUCUUGGAGGACAGGAUACAGUUUAACCUGCUGUUCUUCUUGAUCUCGCUCAUGGAAGAGAAUCUCUUGACCAAACUGAUGGGAUUGACUAAAAGCAAUAAGAACAUGUUCAUGUUCAGUUCGAUCUUCUAGGACCACAAGGGGGAAACCUGGAGUCGUUUAAGGCCAUAUAAAGGAGUAGAAAGAAAGUAGCUAGGAAGCUGCCACGUGGACCUCUAAAAUGCUACCUUCGGAGGCAGCAUUUCAAGGGGAUUUUGUGUGUGGAAAUGAUUGUACUAUGCUUGAGUCACUUUGUACCUGACCUCAGAGGAGUAUAUUGUCGAAAUCUACACUUUAUGGAUUAUGGGGAUCAACUUCAAUAGCUGGACGUAGGAUUACAAGUUUACUUCGGAAGUUUACUCCAUUGGCAACCUACUGGGAAUAUAUUGACUAUGGACAGAACUUGUAUUAUCAUUAAAACAGCUGAGGCUACCUUCAUCUCCACAUACAACUUGUGGCUUGUCUAACUGCUACAUGUGAACACUGGUGUAAUUUGGGUCAUUUUCUAUGUUGGGUGAUGAUGUGCUAGGAAUUAUUUUGAAUAUAUGAUGACAAAGAAUCUAUCUUGUUGUUGAUGCAUUUUUAUGGAUUUCGAGUACAAUAAUAUCAAUUAAUAAUCAACCCAUUUACUGGCAAACAGUGGUGGACAGUAACGAAGUAAAUUUACCUGAGUACUGUACUUAAGUACACUUUUUGAGUAUCUGUACUUUACUUGAGUAUUAUUUUUUCUGAGUACUUGUACUUUAACUUCACUACAUUUGAAAGACAAAUAUCAUACUUUUUACUCCACUACAUUUAUAAAAAGGUCCAAAAGUAGAAAAUGGUUUCUAUGCAGCGGGGUUUCCUGUGUGCGCAAUUUAUCUGGCUUGCGAUCUGCCAGGACCUUUUAUUGUUGCCAAGUAUUUCAGUUUUUCUAAGCUCGCGGUUUUCCGGCAAGCUUUGAAUGGCCAUUUGGCAGAUUUUUUAACGCAAAUUUGGCAACUCUGGGAUCUUCCCCGCUAAACUAAUGUAAACGACGGCGCUGCUACACCAUUGAUAGUGCUCUAAAAAGACAAAUAGAACAAUAAAAGACGAAAAAGGCACAUGUUCAAGUGUGGUGUAAUCAUCUGUGGGUUACGAUCAGUCAAAGAUCGUUGAAACAUUGUCAUGAAAAUGAUCGGCAUAACGGCUAAACGGUAAAUAAGCGUCACAUACACCUUGAGCUACACGUGCGUGUUAACUUCUGAUCUGCUGCUAUAUAAUUUAAAGCGAUUUGGAAAAUGAAUGAUGUUUUUACUGAAGUAACUAUAGUUGAAGUAUUCCUGUAUAUCUGUAUAAAAACAAUAGAACCCUGCCCAAAAUACAACAUAAAAUGUAAUGGAUUUAAUGGUUAUAAUGGGAAUUGUACUAUGGAUACUUGUUGUCUACUUGUAUGUGAUGGAUUCUAUUGGUGGGAUGGUAAAUCCUAUUGGAAUAAAACCCAAAACACACUACAAAGAGGAAUUUAAUUUAAA